rnacentral:rRNA from 1 species
ACCUGAUCCAGCAACGCCGCGUGGAGGACGAAGGUCUUCGGAUCGUAAACUCCUGUCAGACGGGACGAAGGUUUCAGGGUAAAUAAUCCUGGAACUUGACGGUACUGUCAGAGGGAGCCCCGGCUAACUCCGUGCCAGCAGCCGCGGUAAUACGAGGGGGCGAGCGUUAUUCGGAAUUAUUGGGCUAAAGGGCGCGUAGGCGGCUUGCCAAGUCAAAGGUGAAAUCCCUCGGCUCAACUGAGGAACUGCCUUUGAAACUGUCAGGCUUGAGUCCGGGAGGGGGUAGCGGAAUUCCCAGUGUAGCGGUGAAAUGCGUAGAUAUUGGGAGGAACACCAGUGGCGAAGGCGGCUACCUGGACCGGAUCUGACGCUGAUGCGCGAAAGCGUGGGUAGCAAACAGGAUUAGAUACCCUGGUAGUCCACGCUGUAAACGAUGGGUGCUCGGUGUCGCGGGUAUCGACCCCUGCGGUGCCUUAGCCAACGCGUUAAGCACCCCGCCUGGGGAGUACGGUCGCAAGGCUG